rnacentral:lncRNA from 1 species
GCGUGGUCUCCGACUGGGGAGAGGCCACGCUUCCUGACCCCGUCCCUCUGCACUAGCGUGGAUUGGGGGAGGGGCGCGCGCCCUUUCCUCCCAAGCUUCUGCGGGCUAAUGGGGAUGGAUCGGAAGAGCUGUUCCUGAACCUAGGCGUGCUUAUCGCAAGGACUCAAGCUCUAUUUUUGUGUGUCCGAUUUAUGCACUGCAGCAAAAUGGCCCUUCAGCCGCAUUUUGGGGGUUCUCGGAGGGGUUCGAAUGCUCUAGCGCUGAAAAAGAAGCCUGAGAAAAAAAGAACGACGCCCUCCCUCCCCAUUAAUUAUUUGUGGGGCUGGAGUAAGGCGGGCUGGUGCAACCGGUGCAUAUAAGGACUUGUGUGCAGGGAAGGGGAUCCGCCUCCAGACGCGGAACGAGUGGGGGAGAAGCGCACACGCAGGGCGCGCAGCCUGGCGCUUCGGCAGUGUGUAGCGGACGCGGGGUCGGGGCCACCGGUGGCCCCCGGGAAGCUGGAUGACAGGCCCAGGACGCCGGUCACUCGCUGCUUCGGGGCUGGGAAGGUUUGCCAGUAGCGGGAAAGCUAGGGGACCUGAGCUCCCUCUUGACAUCACCACACCCAAGACCUGCUCGUGCCGCAAUUCCCCACGGAAAUGACCGAAUUGAAACGAGAAGCUUAUUCUCUGGGUGCAGUAGCUAGAAUGUUUCAGGUAACUCCAAGGCCGGCUUUGGGUAAGCCACAUGAGGACAGUAUUUCUCCUUCAGGCGGCAUUUCGGAGCUGACCUAUCCAGAUUGAUGGAGAAAGUUUGGCUGGUGGAUAAGAUGUAACAUGGAAGAUGUACGCGUGAGAGCUAUUUCACUUCGACUGCUUUCUCAUUUAAACGCUGGUUGUUUACAGUGGUAAACAUGACAUUCUGUCAUCAAGAAAGUGAAGUCACUUCCCGCAGCUUCCCCGCGCUUUCCGGGGCCUUAGCCAAGCGAAAUAUCUUGGAAGAAAACGCAAAAUCUGAACUUUCCCCUACAAAUAUACCAAUAACUCAUAAAGUAUUCUUUGAAUCUCUGUUAAGACGGGGAUCUACCUGUGGCCAAAUGCAGUGAAGGGUUUUAAUUACGUAGCGUGAAGAUGAGCUUCAGAAUAAGAUUUUUUUGAAUGAAUGAAUGAAUGAAUGGAACCUAAUGCAGUUAGUUCAUCAAGACUGCUAACAUUAAAGGACUUUUAAACAGCAUUCAGUAUUUGCUGUACUGUUUUUGAUAGUAAUACUGUAUUUUUCGUAUGCACUGUGGAUCAUAGACCAUGAAACUUGAAAAUUGUUGCAACAUCUCAACAGCUGUAAUAGUUUGGGAGCUUUUAUCUUUAAAUGUUAUAUGUCAAACGUGUUAUAUUAAAAUUGCGCUCUUUGACUUCUCAUUUUCUAAUGAAACCAUCCAAGUCGGUGUAAUAAGUACUAUGCAAUAAACCAC